GACGAACGCUGGCGGCGUGCUUAACACAUGCAAGUCGAACGGUAGGGCCCUUCGGGGUACACGAGUGGCGAACGGGUGAGUAACACGUGGGUGAUCUGCCCUGCACUUCGGGAUAAGCCUGGGAAACUGGGUCUAAUACCGGAUAGGACCACUGCCUGCAUGGGUGGUGGUGGAAAGCUUUUGCGGUGUGGGAUGGGCCCGCGGCCUAUCAGCUUGUUGGUGGGGUGAUGGCCUACCAAGGCGACGACGGGUAGCCGGCCUGAGAGGGUGACCGGCCACACUGGGACUGAGAUACGGCCCAGACUCCUACGGGAGGCAGCAGUGGGGAAUAUUGCACAAUGGGCGCAAGCCUGAUGCAGCGACGCCGCGUGAGGGAUGACGGCCUUCGGGUUGUAAACCUCUUUCAGCACCGACGAAGCGCAAGUGACGGUAGGUGCAGAAGAAGGACCGGCCAACUACGUGCCAGCCGCCGCUGUAAGAC
rnacentral:rRNA from 1 species